GUACACGCUGUGACUAGCAUAUCAAUAAGCGGAGGAAAAGAAACUAACAAGGAUUCCCUCAGUAACGGCGAGUGAAGCGGGAAGAGCUCAAAUUUGAAAUCUUGAAAGGUCACCUUUCACGAAUUGUAGUUUAAAGAAGUGUUUUCUGUUACGAUCGUAAUAUAAGUUCUUUGGAAUAGGACAUCACAGAGGGUGAGAAUCCCGUCUAUGAUUGCGAUUUGUAGCUUUGUGAUACACUUUCAAAGAGUCGGGUUGUUUGGGAAUGCAGCCCAAAACGGGAGGUAAAUUUCUUCUAAGGCUAAAUAUUGGCGAGAGACCGAUAGCGAACAAGUACCGUGAGGGAAAGAUGAAAAGAACUUUGAAGAGAGAGUUAAAUAGUACGUGAAAUUGUCAAAAGGGAAGCGUUUAACACCAGUGUUGUUUUCUGAAAAUCAACCUCUGUUAGCUUUAUGCAUGUUUGUUUAGACCUAAUCAGCUAUCUUGCAUGUUCUAUUGUUUGCAGUGGUGCACUUUUCAGUUUACAGGUCAACAUCAGUUUUUUUUACCGUAAAAAAGUUAAAGAAAGGUAGCUCAUGGCUCCGGUCGUGAGUGUUAUAGUCUUUUUCCUAUGCGGUAGGAGAGACUGAGGUCUGCAGUGUAGGCUAUUUGGCUAGAUACUCAGGUGCUAUGUGAUACCAUUUCAUAAACAACUUGUUGAUUAUGUUUUGUCUAUUGCAUACUCGCUUGUACUAUCAUACCUACGCUUAGGAUGUUGACGCAUGAGAUAUACGC
rnacentral:rRNA from 1 species